CCAGGAGGAGACCACAGCGCCCGACGGCUCCUCCAGGAGGAGACCACAGCGCCCGACGGCUCCUCCAGGAAGACGGAGUCAUGAGAAAAGCUGCAGGAGCCAAAAGUCUGACUGACCAGAGGAUUCAGACUGUAGGUGUUGCUGCUUUACACACACACACCUACACACACCUACACACCCACAUCCACCUUCAUACAUCCAGGACUCAGGUUCAUGUGUCUAAAGCUUCAGGCGUUUUCACACUGAGCUGUUUGGUGUGAAUAAUAAUAAUAAUAAUAAUUGAUACUUUAUUUAUCCCACAAUGGGGAAAUUCUUCUCCGCAUCUGAAGGUCCUCCAAACCAGCAGGACAAACAAAUUCCUUUUCCUUCUCAUUUGAAAUGACGCCGUCUGCAAACACGCAGCUUUAGAAAGAACACGACCUUUCAGUGUAAAAGCACUGCAAGCUGAAGCAAACGUAUGACCAGGAUUUUCUCUUGAGAAAUCGCUUAAAGAUUUGACAUUUUGGGGACUUUAACACCACAGCAAGCACAGAAACCUGUUCACAGUUAAAUGAUUGUAGCAUCAGUGAAGGAGGUUUUUUCAUUUUCUCUAUCAACACUUUUACCUCGUCUGCUGUCAGACCUUCUCCCAAAUCAGGGAACCCUGCUGGGAUUUUCCAUUUCUGCUUAAUCAGGCUGAAUGUGACGUUUGGUUUUACAUUCAUUCACUGGUUGAAGCUCAAUCUGCAUUUAUGAGCCUAACCUGGUUUGUUCUGGAACGGGGGGGUGGGGGGGGGUGUCCCCCCAACGGUAAACAUAAUUUGGGUGUUUUUCCCUGAGCAGAAUUUGAGAAACUAAAACCACGACGGUUUCUCACACCGACAUUAACAGGAUUUAAAAAGCACAUCUUGGUUUGAUUUUAUUGAUCAAGAUUUUGUUUGAUCCGUUUUAUCUCUACAAAUUAAAGAUUUAUUAAAAAGAUUUUUUCACAUAAAAGACAGAAUGCUGUUUGAGUUUGUAAAAAGCUUUGUGCCAUAUUUUCACAAACUUUAUUCUUAAAACCUCUAAAGUUUCUUAUUAGAGACACUUUAGUGAUAUUUGAAGCCCAAACUUGAUCCAUGUUUGAUGAACAGCUGAUCAUUUUAUGAUGCAUAUCUGACUCUUCGAUGUUGCAUUCUUCACUUUGGAAAGGAAAAGUUUAGUUUGCUGCAGACAUUGUUCAUCCAUGUUAAAACAUGAUUUGUUUUUUUUAUUAAAAAGUUUAACUAUAAUCUCCAAACCUAAACAAAACCAUAAAGUGGAGUUAAAACCUAGAAAACAGUGUCAAGUCCCAGUCCGAUCAUCUUCUGAUCGGUUUCCGAAGAGGUCUGAUGACGAUGACGAUGUUUUUAGACAUAUUCCAAAUAUCUGUGUUGUUUUCUAGGACAUAGUUUCUGCAGAGCGGCAGCUAUCCAGCCGUCCAGUUUAGAUCCAGAUUCCAGCUCAGACGAGGAAAGCAAAGACGUUCAUGGAUCUGUUUGUCUGCAGAGAUUUCAACAAGGAAAUACUCAGAAACGAUGUCCUCCAUGACCAGAAAACAGAACGUGGUAAGAACUCCAGAGGCAUCGUCUUCAUGGGACUAAAGCCCAGCGGUGCUGCUUUACCCAUCAGCCCCGGUGGCCCCUCAGUAAGCAUGUCAGGGUUUGUGUUCCUGGGCAGCUCCUGGGUUUAUUUGGAAAUGGUUGGCUUUCCAUGGAUCUCCUAGUUGUGUGGGUGAAGGUUUAAAGCCUGCCCACAUGGUGGGAGGUUUGCUCUCGGAUGCUCUUCAGGUCAAUCAUCAGUGUCCCGCCUGCACAGCAGUUUGUAUCUAAAGUGGGUCUGAAGCCGUCAGUGUUUCCAGUUUGAGUGUAAAUUAACUUUCAUGUUCUGUUUGAGCCAAACUGGAGGAGCAGGAGUACUAAAAUUAGCAGGAGUACUUUGGCUCCUCCUUGAAAUAAUCAGCCCUGAGCACCAGACGGAUCGUUCGUCCUGAUUAGUCGCUAUGGUUCCCCAUCACACUCACAUGCGUUAGGAUUUCAAGCUGAGAGGAGUGAAAGAUGGAAAAUUGCUGGCAUAUUGUCCAUCUAUCAUGCAACAAGGUCCUUCAGUCACAACAGCAAAUAAGAAGAUUUGGGGACACUGUUGGUUCAGUCCAUAAACACCGAGCUCCGGUUUGACACCAUGUUUGUACUGAAGGAGCCUCAGGAGCCCAUAAGUCACCCGCUGCGCCAUUAUCCACAGUGAUAAAUCUGCUGUUCCAGGGCAGUUCAUAACAUCUGAGUUGAGAGGUCAUUUAACCAUUUCCAUUGAUUACUGUCAUUCUGAGAGUGUGUUACUGUCAAGGGGCCUGGAUGGAGAGGCUACUUUGGACCCGACAUGCUGAUCAAUAGGCUUCAGGUCCAGACAGCAUCUCCCCCAUGGAGGCCGUGUGGAAGUCCUCCUCAGAUGGAUCAAUGAGCCAUGCAUGCACACAGACCGAAGGCUCCACGGCGUUCUGCCUGUACUCGAAUUAUAGGACUGUUAAAAACCCCUGAAGGAUCCGCCACGCUGGAAAAUCAAGACAAAGUGCUUAUUGGAUGUGAGAAUUGAUUUAUGGCCCACUUUCCACAUGAACGUCAGUAUUUAAGGCGGGCUUUGAAAAGGCUGCAGGGAGGAGUCCUGACGUCAGAUUGGAUGGAACCUGCAGGAAGCAGGAGGUGCUGGACCGCCGUGGCGUUCCUUUAAAGGGCAGCAUUUCCAGGACAGGAGGCCUGACCCCUGCUGCUCUUAUUGACAGACGUUAGCGAUUUUUCUGUUGUAAGACUCGCUUCACCGGCGUCUGCAAGCCCAACCAGAUGGAGCCCUCGCUGCCAAUGUUGUUCCACUUUCCAAUAGUCCGAUUCAUAGCGGAGGUCUUGUACAAACUGAGCGCAGCCUGCGAGGGUCAAUCAAUGCCACCGGCUGCUGUUGUUCACCCCACCCAACAUCUCCACGCCUCUGGAGCUGCUCCUCAGCCUGGAUCGAUGCCUGACCGGCCGACUCCAUUAGACGACCUUUUUAAAGAGCCGCGGUGAUGGGGGGAGGUUGACUUAGUGCUUUACCUCCUGAAGGAAGGUUAAGCUGCACUUAAGUGGAUGAAGUCACUGAAAAAGUCCGUCACUGAACCAGCACUUCCUUUGGUUUUCAAACUAAAAAGGUUAAAAAAAACACAGAUGAAAAUGGAAGAAAAUGAAAGACUAAAAAAAAAAAAAAAAAAAAA